UUUCCCUUUCCUGUUCGCUCAGGGAUUAACAUGUGGAUUAGCAGUUGGAUUAGCAGUUGGAUUAACAACUUCAUUUUAAAAAUCCUGCUGCUAUUCAAAUUAGCCACACCGUGGGAUGUAAGGAGCUCUCUGAUUGGUUGGUCAGACACAGGCUGUCUGCCAGCCUGGAUUUUUCUAGCUCAUAGCUUCGCCCUGCUACGAAGCUUGUGUGCUUGUACAAAGGCCGUUCAGCCUCGGGAUUUAUACUCGGCUCGACACGGAUAUGUGAAGAAUGAAGGGACCCUGCAGCGAAACGGAGAGCCCAACCUCUGACUGAGUGCCCGUUUACUCAGUCUGACCACCUGUUGAAGGGCUGUUUGAUGACGAUUUGGACUCCUCUGGGAGACGAGGACACACUCACAUCUGUUCCAUACUGCAGCCAUGGAUGGUGUUACAGCUCUGAGUCAGCUUUAGGCCAUUAGAUGCACACACUGGAAAACCAGCACCUGGACUUCAUGCAGGAGAGACGGCCUCAGUGAUAAUUCAUCAGCAGCUGUGAAGAGAUGUAUUUGAAUAUCUUCUGGUUCCACUUUUCUUAACCUGGAAUCUG